GGUCCGCUGGCGUAAUGGUAGCGCGUCUGACUACGAAUCAGGAGGCUCCAGGUUCGAUCCCUGGGCGGAUCG
rnacentral:tRNA from 1 species